rnacentral:rRNA from 1 species
AGAGCGAACGCUGGCGGCAGGCCUAACACAUGCAAGUCGAGCGCCCGUAGCAAUACGGGAGCGGCAGACGGGAUAGUAACACGUGGGAACGCGCCCUUCGGUUCGGAAUAACUCAGGGAAACUUGAGCUAAUACCGGAUACGCCCUUACGGGGAAAGAUUUAUUGCCGAAGGAACGGCCCGCGUCCGAUUAGCUAGUUGGUGAGGUAAUGGCUCACCAAGGCGACGAUCGGUAGCUGGUCUGAGAGGAUGACCAGCAUCACUGGGACUGAGACACGGCCCAGACUCCUACGGGAGGCAGCAGUGGGGAAUAUUGGACAAUGGGCGCAAGCCUGAUCCAGCCAUGCCGCGUGGAUGAUGAAGGCCUUAGGGUUGUAAAGUCCUUUAACGGGAAGAGUAAUGACGGUACCCGUAGAAUAAGCCCGGCUAACUUCGUGCCAGCAGCCGC